UACGUAGGUGACAAGCGUUGUCCGGAUUUACUGGGCGUAAAGAGCGCGCAGGCGGUCGUUCAAGUCGAGUGUGAAAGCCCCCGGCUCAACUGGGGAGGGUCAUUCGAUACUGAUCGACUCGAAGGCAGGAGAGGGAAGUGGAAUUCCCGGUGUAGUGGUGGAAUGCGUAGAUAUCGGGAGGAACACCAGUGGCGAAGGCAGCCCCCUGGGCUAACACUGACGCUCAGGCACGAAAGCGUGGGGAGCAAACAGG
rnacentral:rRNA from 1 species